AUGCUGAAGUAUUGUGCAUGGUGGUUACUGUGGCAGCAGGGCACAACUGCAAUAUCUAUAUUCAGUACAAUCUUGCGAGGAAAAAUUGAGGACCAUAUAAAUAAAGGUAGCUACAUCUCUCUGUUGGAGUGUGCUGGCGUCACAUCAUUACUGCAUAACUUAUUCUAUGGUCUCAGAAAAGCUAAAGUUUUGAUUGAAGAACUUGAAUGCCUGGCCGAGGAUGUUUAUAGCACUACGCUAACAGCCAGCCUUAGUAUCUUAGAAGCUUCAGAUUGCUUUGAUGAUGAUGAUAACCUGCCAGCAGAUUCUUGUGAGGAUGAAGGGCAGUCUGUGGAUCCGCUGGACAGCGCAGUAUCUUACUCGAGCGUUAUGAUUCUGGUUCACAAUAUGUUAAAGUUGGAUUAUUCGAUGCAGAAGUUUGCUAUCCUGCAGGAGAAGAUAGUCAAGGCACUGUGCCUUAAAACACCAUCGUCGGAGCUAGAUGGCUAUUGUCUAAUGUGGGACUUGCGGCCGUAUAUUGAUGACAAUGUGUUGCAGCUUGCCUGGAAAUUCAUUUCGUAG
rnacentral:rRNA from 1 species